AUUGAACGCUGGCGGCAGGACUAACACAUGCAAGUCGAACGAGUGGCGGACGGGUGAGUAAUGUCUGGGAAACUGCUUGAUGGAGGGGGAUAACAUAUGGAACCGGUAGCUAAUCCCGAAUAACAUCGGAUUUGCCCAGAUGGGAUUAGCUUGGAGGUGGGGUAAAGGCUCACCUAGGCGACGAUCCCUAGCUGGUCCGAGAGGAUGACCAGCCACACUGGAACGGAGACACGGUCCAGACUCCUACGGGAGGCAGCAGUGGGGAAUAUUGCACAAUGGGCGCAAGCCUGAUGUAGCCAUGCCGCGUGUAUGAAGAAGGCCUUCGGUUUGUAAAGUACUUUCAGCGGGGAGGCGUUACCCGCAGAAGAAGCACCGGCUAACUCCGUGCCAGCAGCCGCGGUAAUUC
rnacentral:rRNA from 1 species